rnacentral:rRNA from 1 species
GGACCCGCACAAGCAGUGGAGCAUGUGGUUUAAUUCGAAGAUACGCGCAGAACCUUACCAACGCUUGACAUGUUCGUCGCGAGACUAAGAGAUUAGUUUCUUCAGUUCGGCUGGACGAAACACAGGUGCUGCAUGGCUGUCGUCAGCUCGUGUCGUGAGAUGUUGGGUUAAGUCCCGCAACGAGCGCAACCCCCUACUUUUAGUUGCCACCAUUUAGUUGGGCACUUUAAAAGAACUGCCAGUGAUAAGCUGGAGGAAGGUGGGGAUGACGUCAAGUCCUCAUGGCCCUUAUGUGUUGGGCUACACACGUGCUACAAUGGCACUUACAAUGGGAUGCAAAGAGGCGACUCUAAGCUAAUCCCUAAAAUGUGUCUCAGUUCGGAUUGUACUCUGUAACUCGAGUGCAUGAAGCUGGAAUUGCUAGUAAUCG